AAUCCUUACUUGCGGCAAGAUUCAGAGGCUUCAAGACCACCUUAGUUCGUCGGUUUAUCACAAAGAAACUUGUGAGAAAACCAAAGAACAAGAAAGGAGGUGGCAAUGAUGAUGAAGUAAUCGAUGAAGAGAAACUCCCAUGGCAAAUAUGACCUAGCGUAUCAAAGGAAAAUUGGGAUGCUUUCGUUCUUCAAAAAAGCAAAAAAGAAGGAAUUGAAAUAAGGGAGCAGAAUUCCAAGAAUGCAUUGCAGAAGCAAUACUACCAUCGUAUGGGGUGUAUGACGUUUGAUGAAUGGAGGGAGACGUAGGUGAGUGAAGGAGUAUACCCCACUGCGCUUCUAGGGUCCUCCACAGUGCCCUCUGACUCCACGACCAGUACUUUGGUGAGUCAUGCCGAAGAUUUCUUUUGUUCUUUGCAUUCUCGUGACAAGAAAACCGGAAAAUGGUCCAUCAAGGCUCCGGAAACGAAAGAAAUGGCAGAUAAACUUCUUGAGUACACUGAAGAGCAUGUUGAAGGCAAGCUCGUCCCAACAAUGGAGAAGGACCCUUUCACUUUGGCUUUGGGAAAGCCCUACCAUCCAGGACGCGUAUUGGGUGCGGAGGGGAGCUAGCUAGGAUGGGAGAAGGUGAUGGGUCCGGAUUAUACCAAAUUAGGGAGAUCCCGGGCAAGUGUGAACUCACCGGUCAACUUGGAUGCCACGGUGGCAUCAAUUAAGGAACAAGUGCGCAACGAGAUGCGAGAAGAGUUUAAUGCAUGGGCAAAGCAAAUAAACUUGUCGAGCUUGCCUUUCUCCUCGGCUACACUGGUCGACUCUUCUAGUCACCCACGAAACAAGGAGAAGAUGAGAUACAUGCAGACGAGGAGGUUAGUAAUCCUGCACAUGCGUACUUGAGGGAGCUUGAAAAUCCAACACCUCAUGACUUUCCAGUUCUACAGGAAGAGACCCGUUGUGAAAUUCUUCACCCGGGCGAAUCGCUUAGUGGAGCUUUAAAUGUCGUUGCAUAUAGUAGUGCACAACCGGCCGAACAAGGUACGGUCCAUUUGCGACCGCUUCGACCUGAGCAUUAUUCGGUCGGGAUCCAUUCUGUGGUUGCCGGGUUCGAGGAUAUCUACCUGUGCCCGUAGAGGAGGAUGAGUUUACUACACCUUUGGGCGGCAAAAGGUAGUUUUGUGCAAUGGCCAUGUGCUUGGAUACGGUUGGUGAGCCAGCCAUCGAGGAAAAGCCAUACUCCAAAGAAGAGGGUGGAGGGGCUAAAAAGCAUUGAUCAACCGAUGCCAAAGAAGAGGAGUGAACAUGGCUCGGUGAGUAGAAAAGCGUCGAACAAGAGCUCUUCACGAGGUUUAGCUAUGCAAGCUACUCCACUAGUUAAAGACACGGUGCUUCAAUCGCUCUCUAAGGAGUUAACUUAUCUGCACAACCGUGUUUGCGUGUUGCCUAGUGACAGCCCCAUUCAAGUUCCACUACCUAAGGAAAUGUUCCACUACGAUGAUGAUGCAAUGGCAUGGCUAUUCAAAGAAGAUGUGAAGGAAUUUCUAAGUGGUGCAAUGCUUAACAUUUUUCUCAUUCAAAUAUGCAUCAGAGCACUCUAGGAGCACUUAUGGGAGCUUGGUUCUCCAUGUCAAAUUGGGUGGUUAUGCCCUGAGAAGAUCUCCACUGCUAGAAUCUUAGGCAACCACGCUGACGUGUUGUACUAUGUUGAACGGGGUAUCAAGGAAUCAGUGCGUGCGGGAGACAUGUUUAUAUUUGCCCCAUAUUAUGAGGAUUAUCAUUGGACCCUACUGGUGAUUUGUGUUUCCAGUAACACAAUCUUCUUCUUUGAUU